AGACUCCCACACCCUUCCACAUCAUCUCUACCUACGAGCCAGUCCUGAGCCCAUAGGCUCUUCCUUUCUUACUGCUGUGGGUGAACUGUCAACCCUGCUCCUAUCAAAAGCCAGCUCCCUGUUCUCUGCAUGCUUCCUCCCCCAUCAAGACUGGCGCCAGCAAUUCUUCUCUUUCUUUACUUCAUCACUAAUUUUCUCUGCUCUACUGAAUCAUCUCCAUCAAUGCGAAAUACAUUAUAAUGUAUCCCAUCUUGAAAAAAAUCAACCCUCUCUGGAGCCCGCAUCCCUAGAAACUGCCCAUUCCUCCGCUCCCCUUCACAACAAAAUUUCACUAAAGUUUUAUCUUUAUUUGUCAAUUCUAGUUUCUCUUAUUUCCAUUCUUUCUUAAACCCAGCCACUACCCUGAAAUUGCUCUUAUCAUUACCAACCAAAAUCUGCAUGUUGCUGAGUCCUAUAUGAAGAUUCAGUCUUUAUUUUAUUUAACUCUCAGCAACAUUUGAUAUAAUUAAAGAUCCCUCUUCCAUGAAACACUAUGUUUCCUCUGGAGACCCAAGUUCUCCCUGUGUUUUUCUUUUUUUUUUGUAAGAUACUCUCCCCACAACCCUCUUUGUUCCGUCUUCUUCCCACCAACCUCCAAACGAUGGAGGUUUCCAGGCCUUUUCUUUCCUUUGUUCACAUUCAUUUCUUAGAUGGCCUAUCUAGUCUCAUGGAUUUAAAUACCAUAAUACACUGAUGACUUCCUUUUUUUUUUUUUAUUUCCCCCAUCCUGGACCUCUUCGCUGAACUCUGAACUCAAAAAUCUGUCUAUUUGACUUUUUUCAUUUGGGUCACCAACAAGUACCUGAAACUUAGAACUGUUGUUGCCAGCCUGUCUCUCACUUUUCCCUCACACCUCCUAACUAACCUGUUACCAAUUCCUCCUAGCUAUAUUCUUGAUAGAUAACAAAGACUUGAUUAUUUUUGUCACCUGCACUGUCAUGAUCCUACUCUAAGCCACCAGUGUCUCUCAUGUGGAGAUUUUCAACAACCUCCUAACUGCUUCCACGUUUGCUCUCUCCAGCCCUGUGCAGCACCAUUUCAACUAAAAAUCCAGAGCGAUCUUCUCACAACGUAAAUAAUAUCUUCUCACUCCUCUGCUCAAAGUCCCUGAAUAACAUUCCAGCUCUUUCAGAAUAUCACCCAAGAUCUUAUGAUGGCCUUUGAAACCCCCUGUGACUGGGUUCCCUGUUUCCUCUCUGACCUCAAGCCCUAUUAGCUGUCCUACUGUGUGCUCCACUGCAGACAUCCUGGCCCCUUGGGGUUCCUUGGACAGUGCAGGUAGGCUCCCUUCUCAGCGCCUUGCACUCACUGUUCCUUCUUUCUCCACAGCCUUUUCCAAGAGCUUCAUUCUUUUCUAGUCUCUGCUCUGCCACUUCAUUGGUGAGCUCUAUCUUGACCACUCUGUUUAGACUGACAGCUCUUCACCUGCUUCACUCCUCAUUCCCCACCUGAGCAUUACUUUUCUCCAUAGUGCUACGGCCAUCUGACAUACUGUUUAGUUAGGUUAACAAUAGAACCUGUGAAUGUUAGUCUCGACAGUUUUGUAUUAACAUGGUUUAGGCCUAUCACACAUUUCCUUACAGUUCAGCGCACACGUUCCUGGUUGGCGGGUGGUUUUCCUUCAUCUGGGGUUCAGGUACUGAGAUCCUUCCAUUUGAAGCUCUCUCUGCCUUCAGGGUCUCAGAGUCUUCCCUAUCCAGCAGACACUGAGGAUGGGAGAGAAAAAUAAAUGGAGAAGGCACAGCAGGUUCUUUCUGGAAGUGACGAACAUCGCUUCUGCUCACAUUCCUUUGGCAAGAGUUAGUCAUGUGGACACAGCUGAACUCGAGGAAGACCAGGAAAUGUAGUCGCUGUUUGGGCCACUGCCUGCCAGUGACAACUCAACUUUGGGAGUGUUGGUGGACAGAAGUCCAUCUGUCCCACUCGCAAUAUACAUUUACUUGUCUUCAUUACAAGUGAGGGGAAAACAUGAGCACGAAUCCUGUUCAACGAUGAAUCAGCAGCUGCACCGAGCCCCCGACGGACUGACUCACUCGGUGCCUGGCUCGUGUGCGGUUGGGCUCGCGCUGUUUGAGGAUGGAUGGCUAUGACUGCCGGAGGUGUUCAGCUUUCUCCUGAAUUUUUGAAAACCAUUGCUGACAGUUCAUAAAAAAUAAAAAGAAAAUACGAACGCACACAUAGACGUAUAUCAAGACUUUAGCAGGGAGAAUGGCUGUAGUUCCUAAGGUUAUGGCUAUAAGGUGAAGUAGGUUAUUUGUCCUGACUAGAUAAAUAAUACAUGUGUUUUGUUUCUUGACAAAUAUGAUUGAUGUUCAUGAACAACCUCCCCAGGAUAUGUAUUUUGAGUUGUUUCUCAAGAAUUUGGAUGAGUUCAAGUGAUAAUUCACUUGUCCCUGAUUUUUUGGUCCCAACGAGCAGUGGUAAAAAUUUACAAAGUGACUGUGAACAUUUAGCGUAUAAGCAGUCACAGGGAUA